rnacentral:rRNA from 1 species
AGCAGUGAGGAAUAUUGGUCAAUGGGCGUAAGCCUGAACCAGCCAAGUCGCGUGAGGGACGACGGCCCUACGGGUUGUAAACCUCUUUUGCCGGGGGACAAACGGCGGCACGCGUGCCGUCCUGAGGGUACCCGGAGAAAAAGCAUCGGCUAACUCCGUGCCAGCAGCCGCGGUAAUACGGAGGAUGCGAGCGUUAUCCGGAUUUAUUGGGUUUAAAGGGUGCGUAGGCGGGAUGCCAAGUCAGCGGUCAAAUACGGGGGCUCAACCUGCGUCCGCCGUUGAAACUGGCGUUCUUGAGUGGGCGAGAAGUACGCGGAAUGCGUGGUGUAGCGGUGAAAUGCAUAGAUAUCACGCAGAACCCCGAUUGCGAAGGCAGCGUACCGGCGCCCGACUGACGCUGAAGCACGAAAGCGUGGGUAUCGAACAGGAUUAGAUACCCUGGUAGUCCACGCAGU